AUCAUUAUUUUUGGAAGGCAAUCACUCAAAAAUGAUUGUCAUAGACUUUCUAGUUUGUUUCCUGCAGUGCAGACUGGAAGGGCCUGGUCUUGGGUUUUUCUGCAAAACCCAAAGAGAUUGUGACAGAAGACAAGCGUACGUCAGAAACAUUUCUGCAGGUCCAGCUGGGAGUAGGUGUCACUAGCAGAAAGUCUGUGGCAGAAAUCACCAGCAAGCUGAGAAAUCCAGUGGGAAGUAACAUGUGGAAGCCAAAAAAUGUAUAACCUAUGCUUUGCAACCUAUGAUGCUGGAAGAGCAUUAUGUUCUUCCUUUGGCACAGAAGGUCUCUGUUGAAAAUUUUCCACAAGAUUACUUCCCAUCCGUUCCGCUGACAGGUGCAGUGAGAGAUUGAUCAUAAAGCUAAAUCAAAUGGUCAUCUGCUUCUGAGGAGUUAGUGCUGCCCUUCACUAUAUUACUAGGUGAAAAUGCAUCACAGCAAAAAAAUUCUUACAAGAAGAUGCUCUCCUUCCUGUUCAUUGCCACCACGCUGAUUUUCUUAAAUGUGCAUUCACAGACUAGGCAGAUACAGACACAUAUGGCACAUAACUGCUAAUGCUGUCACUGUUCUUAAAGGUGACUGCCAAGAACAAUUCAUUGAAGUGGGUAAUUUGCUUACUGUGUAAAGAAAAUUAGCACCUUUGAAGCCAAAGUCUGGAAAAAGAAGAAAAUGCCUUCACUGUUAUAUAUUUUUGUGAAACAAGCAGCAAUUAAUCUAUGUGGGCAGAAGUGUACACUGGGUCAGAAUAGGCCUAGUAAGAGGAUCUAUUACCCUCUGAGAGGGUAUUAUCACUGACAGGGUAGUAAUUGAUAGGUACAACAGACACUUUGCUUUAGCAUCCUUGUGAUGUGGUCUGCUUAGCUGCAGCUGCAGAUGCUUUUUUUGUGAUUAAACUAUGAUUUGAAAAAUUAAGGAACCUUCUGUUACAACUAAUCUUUCCUUAGUUACCAGUGACCUGAAAUAAAACAAAUGUGGUAGAACCAGCAUGGAUGUCACAGGAUGUUAUUCUGCAAGAUCACUCAGCAUGCAGCCCCUCGCUCAAGUGACUCAUGGUCCUGGGGACUAUGGGGGAGAACAAACCCCCAUCCCAGGCUCUGCGCUGAACUCACAGAACUGAUCUGAGCUAGAAAGUGAAGAUCUUUCCAAGAGUGAUCAGCCUUGACCAAAGCCGUUCCCCUUCAGAGAAAGAACUGAGCCAUGCCAGCUGGUGUCUCAGGAGUCUGCACACACAAAACACACAUGCUUCAGCAGCAGAAGUCAAUGAAGAAGGAUACCCAGCUUACUCAGUGUUUUUUGGAGCCUGACUUACUUAUGCACCUUAUAAAACAAGACCUUGGUUUUUUGUGUGAAACCCGUCACCGGUAGCUGUUCACCAGAAAUAAUUUUGGAAGUACAGAUUCUAGAAACCUAGCUGGUCUGGGAAGGAAAUAGCCCAGAGAUUUUGCUCACUGUGAUUUGCAGGCUGUGCUCUGAUUUCAAAAGCCCUGCUUGUGCACAAGCACUGAGGAAACAAGGAAACCCAAGCAAGUGCUGUUGAAGUGCUCAGCAAAGCCAGCAGGGCUGUGCCACCAGCAGUGCUGGCACCUGGGGCCCAUCCAUGUCUCUCGUUCUGCAGAGCUUGCAAGUGGGAUGAAGACAUGACUUAAUGAGGCAGCUGGAAGCUGAAUCUAAAGUGAUAACAGAACACACAAGGGUGAUAACACACUAGUGAUCCCAGAAGACUAUGUUUUCCUUACAGGGAAGAAAAAAGUAUUCUUUGUGAAGAAAUUAUCCUUAAAUACCAUAUUGUGUUUUGGGAAGUAUAUGAAAGAUAUAGGUCAUUAGGAGGGUAUAAGGUGAAAAGGGGAUAGCAGUCAACUGGCAAAGAAUUGUGGCUUCUUCAUUAAUAACUCCCAGCAGUAUUGCAAAGCAGGAACAGCAGGCUGUGUUCAGCCAGGAAGUCCAUCCUUAGAGGAAACUUCUGUUCUCUUCAUAUGUUAUUUGUAAGUACUCUGUGAAGCUUGAACCUUAACAAUUUGCAGACAUACCACUGUGUUUUACUGUA